CUGAGGGGAGCAUGGCGGGGUUGGCGCGGCGGCUGCUCCGCAGGGGCCUGGCCGUGGCCGCGGGGCCGCCGAACACCCGCCAGCUCCGGGAGGCCGAGGAGGCCGCCCCGGUGUUCCAGUACGCGGGGAAGGCGGCCAGGCGCAAGGACCGCGUGUUCGUGUGGGGCUUCAGCUACUCGGGCGCCCUGGGCGUGCCCAGCUUCGUGAAGCCGGACGCGGGCUGGAAGAAGCCGCGGCGGAUCCAACCCACGCCGUACCGCCUGGAGACAGAGGAGAAGAUAUCCUCUGCUGCCUGUGGGUAUGGAUUCACACUGCUGGCUUCUAAUACCAGAGACAUCACCAAAGUGUGGGGCAUGGGGCUCAACAAGGAUUCCCAGCUUGGAUUCCAGAGAAGCAGAAGAGAUCAAACUAAGGCCUAUGAAUAUGUCUUGGAACCAUCUCCAAUUCCAUUACCACUGGAGAAGCCACAGCAAACUCGAGUCUUGCAAGUGUCCUGUGGGAGAGCCCAUUCUCUGGUCCUGACAGAUAGGGAAGGAGUUUUCACAAUGGGAAACAAUUCUUUUGGACAGUGUGGCCGCAAGGUUGUUGAAGAUGAAAUUUACAGUGGAAGCCAUAUCAUUCAUCAGCUGAGGGAAUUUGACAGUGAAGUUGUCCAGGUUGUGUGUGGGCAGGACCACAGUCUGUUCAGAACCAAGAAAGGUUCAGUCUAUGCAUGUGGAUGGGGAGCUGAUGGACAAACAGGUCUUGGACACUAUAACAUCACCAGUGUUCCUACUAAGCUGCAUGGUGACAUUGCUGGAGUAAACAUUACCCAGAUCUCUUCCUAUGGGGACUGUUGUCUGGCUGUUUCAGAUGAAGGAGAUGUCUUUGGUUGGGGAAAUUCAGAAUAUUUGCAGUUGGCAUCUGUCACAGAAACCACACAGGUGAAUGUUCCCAGGCAUUUGCCAUUCAAGAUUGGGAAGGUGAAGGAGGCUGCCUGUGGAGGGACUGGCAAUGUUGUGCUGACAGAAGAAGGAAAUGUUUUUGUCUGGGGAUAUGGAAUUCUUGGGAAAGGACCAAACCUAAUAGAGACAGCAGUGCCAGAGGUGAUCCCACCCAGCCUUUUUGGCUGGUCAGACUCCAGUCCUGACAUCCGUGUUGCUCGUGUUCGCUGUGGGCUCAGCCACUUUGCAGCACUUACAAACAGAGGAGAACUGUUUGUGUGGGGGAAGAAUCUAAGAGGGUGCCUGGGAACAGGAAGAAUGGAAGACCAGUAUUUCCCAUGGAGGGUGACUGUUCCUGGGGAGGUGGUGGAUGUGGCCUGUGGAGUUGAUCACAUGGUGAGCAUGGUCAAGUCUUUUACCUAGGGAUGCUGCUGGGUGUCAGCACCAUGCCUGGGUGAUGCAAGGACUUGGUGAUGAGCUUCUUGGAAAGGAAAACUCACGAAACCAAGUGACUGUGAGCAGAGACAGCCAUGGCAGUGUCUGGUUGUGUUGUCAUCCCUGCAUCACUAAAUGCUCUGGCCUGGCUACAGGAAGGAAGAACAUUCCCCAGGGAGCAUGGAAAUGCAAGGAGUGCUCUGGCUCCUUCAUGAUGAGCUCACAGAGAAGCUGAGGCCCAGCCACAGGCUGGUGAGCCCCUCUGCAUGAAGAUGGAGAGCAUCUCCUUAAGGAAGACUGGCAUGGGCUGAGAUCUACAGCACAGGACAUUGAUACAUGGACAUUUCCUGUCACCAGCUCUGGAGUGUCAGUGUUGGGCACAGCCAAACUAUUUCUCAAGGGACAAGUUAGGUUUUUUUAAUAACUAUGAUGUGGAAGAGAGGUCAUGCUAGUUCUUGAAGCCCAGCACAGCUGUCCUGGGUGGGCACCCUCAGCUGCACUGUGCCCAGGCUGUUUCCUGUGCAGAAACUGGAUGCACAGCCCUUGCCUGGAGGCACUGAUGUGUCUGUGGGCUGUUGAAGGCUUUGUGUGUUAGUGCUACAGACUGAACACCAAAGGAACACAUUUAAAGAGUGAGAAGCUGUUUGCAGGGACCAUGUGACAGUGGUGCUGUGCACCCAUGCUGCUGACAGGCUCAGGACCCACAGUGACUGCCCUGAGGAGGCCCCAGGAGGAGGCUGAGUUUGCUCCCUGGCCCUGCUGGGGUGCAGGGCUCUGGGGGUGUCCUGCCAGGAUCUCUGGGGGAGCUGGCCAGGGCAUCUUGCACUCUGCAGUGAGCAGGUAAAACUACAUCUAAAAUACACUAAGAGCAUCCCACUGACCUCUUAUUUUAGGGGAAGAGGAUAGGGCAGGUUUGGUGGUUUCAUGUGCAGGGGUACAGUACACACCCAGUGACAGGAUCUGGAGCCUCAGGGAUGUCUGCUGCCUUUAUAAACUGUGUGUGUGUGAUACACCCAACAUGGCUGUAGGUGAAAGAAAUGAGAGUUACAUCUUGCAGACAAUGCCAAGCUCUGCUUUAUUUUCAUCAGUUUGAUCAGUACAAAAGCAGACAGCAUAAGUUUCACUUUUUAUUCUUUUUCGGUUUAAUUACUUUACAAAGUACAAAAUAUACUGUCAUUUAUUUUGGAACAUUAGGAUUUUUUCUUUUUUUCUGUUUUGUUUUUUUCAUACAGUACAUAAAUCUCAGCUUUUCAGCAUAAGACCAGCAAAGAAAAGCAGCGUGUGCACUUGCUGGGAAAGCAAAACAGCCACUUCUCGGCUCCACACAAUGUCCAGUGCAUGAUCCCAAGCUGCUGCCACCACUCCCUGUGCCUGGUUGAGUACCCUCCCUCCUUGUGCAGAGGUCAUGAAGGCAGCUGCUGCAUCCAGGCUCCCCUGUGCCUUGUACCCCCGAGCUGCCCACCCACUCGUGCAGGGCCUGGCCCCCCUGAGCCCAUGGCACUGCCCACAUGGAGCUGCAAGCAGCCUUUCCAUGGCUGCAGCCAGAGCAGGAGCUGUGCCAAAGGCCCUGUGUGGGCAGGAUUCCCCCAUCCUGUUUGCAUCAGAUCUGGUAAUUAAAGGGAAAUAAAUACACUUUUUUUCCCCACCCUCCCCAAUGAAAAGCUGCAUGGGGUUUCUGAGAGGUGGGCAGGGAGGAGAGGCUGCAAGAGUUUGGGGUUCCCAGCCCCACUUCAGCCUGUUUGGUGUGUGUCUGUGGCCAAAAGUGGUAUUUCACUUACAGAGCAAAUGAUACUUAAAUAACUUAUUAAAUAAAAGCUCCUGAAGAUUUGUGUUUCCUCCCCAGGCUGCCCAGCACAGCUGUUCUAAGUGGCCAAGGAUGAGAGACAGACCCUGAUCCAAGCUGGGCAGCUUCUGCAGCAGGAGCAUCUCUGCUCCUGGCAGUGCCAGAGCUUUGGGUUAGUGUUGUGUAGGUGUCUGGAGGGAAUGUGGGCUCCUUUGGAGCCCAUACAAAUGGGAGAAAGAGAGAAGUGCUCAGACUUGUUGAAGCCACUGGAGGCACUGAUGAAGUGCUGUUGCACUAUGGCCCCAGAAGGACCCCUCCUAACAAGCCCUGGACUUGUGCAGUGCAGUGGGGCUGUAACCUCCCUUCUGAGCCUGCAGGGUGAGGCUCACUGAACCUCAGCACAGAGGAACCAAACUGACAAUCUGCACUGAGCACUGCUGAGGACAAUGAGGCUCCUCCUCCCUCUGUGCAGUGCUCCCUUCGAACUUCCCUUCUGGCUGCCCCGUGGUGCCCAAACAGCAGGAGCCAGCCAGUGCCAGGCUGUGCAGCCACAGCCACACUCACUGCAAGGUGGGGCUGCAGGUGUCCCCUGGGCACUGUGGCACCAAGACCCAAACCCCAGCAGCAGCAGGACCUCCUGGCAUGGCUCGAUGGUGGGAGCAGGUGAACAUGUCAAGCAAAUUGAGGUGAUCACCCACCCUCUAAUUCUAAUGAAAACGAGGGGAGGAUGGGUUAUAUAAGGAGUUAACAGUAAGAGAAUGAGACAGGCUCUUCCAAAGGCUGAAACAGCUUCUGAAGCUGCAUCCUACUAAGAGUUACUGUCUGGCAGCCUCCUCUUCUGCCUCAGUGCUUGGGUCAGCAGGACAAGUGUCCCCUCUCUGUCAGUGCCACCCCAGCUGCUGCAGAGGCAGUGUGGAGGAGGGAGGAUACACUGGCAGAAAACGUGGCUGCCACUGUGCUAAAAUGAACACCCUGCUCCUCAACUUCAUGUCUCAGAAGCCCCAAAGCCAAGCCUGGAGCCCACACACAGGGGAGGGAUAACAGUGCCCAACCAGAGUGAGGAGGGACAGGGGACAAAGCCCUGCUGCCAUAGUGACACCAUAGUCCUGGCAGGGUAGAGUCACUACCCUGUGUCCUUCCAGACAUGAAGCUGGGCACUAAUGGCACUUGGAUGCAGUUCUUCUCACACUCCCACUAUCAACAGCCAUUGGAUUGGCAGGAUUGUUUUUAGCAGCAGUGGCAGGAGGAUGUUGGGUGAGAGGUGAGGGCAGCCCUGGAUCCAGCACAACCAGAAGCACCCAGAAAAGACUGCCCUGGGAUGCUGAUUUUCUGCUGUGCUAUCACUGGAGCAGUUCACAACUGGAGAACAAAUAAAAACCUGGAGGAAGGAAGCACUGACACGUGGGACUGGCAGGGAUCCUGGUAGGUGGGGCUUGGGGGAGAAUGAGGGCAUGACUCAUUUUUAAUUAUAUGAUACAAAUAAAAAAAUGGCUGAGGUCACUGAGCUGGACCAGACAAUUCCUAAUGGUUGAAAGAGAAAUGGGGUGCUCCUCCUCCUGCAGAGCCACCUUCUUCAUACUCUGAACCUCCAGCAUCAGUACCAACACAACACCAGAAAAAACAGUCUUGCUGACACAGAGGAUGAGGGAGCUCUGUUUACCAGGGCUGUCUCCCUGUGACCUGGCCCAGAGCAGCAUCCUACUAGCCUGAGCCUGGGGCUGCUUCAGUUUUCAGCUGGCAAAGGGGCUCUUUUGGGGCACAAAGGAGCAGUAAUGCUCACAUCAGCUAAUCUGGCAAGGGGGUGCUUCAAGCACAUUCCCACAAGGACCAGGGGAUCAGGUACCUGUAAAAUGUUUUUCAAGUAACAAAAGAGCCAGUAGGAAUCCUCAGGCUUAUUACUGUAACUGCAGAAAGCUGGUUUAAAUCCUCAGGGUGCUGAAAUAGAAGCAGAAAGGCAGUCAGAGCAGGGGAACUCUAAACAGCAGCCUCCUAGGGCAUCUUCCCAUAGGUCCUGGUGCAACAGACACUGCCUCUGCCACAGCCACACAAGGAGGGAAGAAGCAACAAGCCCCCUCAAAAUGAAGGAUGAAAGGAUCCCUAUUCAUGGCAUUAUGUCUGAGGGUUGGGAGGACCCCAGUAAAACCACUGGGUCUGCCUAGAGAAGGACAUGUCACCUGGUCAGCUCUCCUGUGUACAGGCAGAGGACAGAGCUGAACAGAGGGGAAUGACAUGCUCCUGCUCUGCUCUCAAACAUAUUUCAAAAUUUCAGUCCUGCCAGAUGUCUGAUGGGCAUCUCUGUCCAUGUCUGCUCCAAAAUCCACACACAGUUCAUUUACAGAAUUUUGCAGAAAGCUAAAAAUGGAUGGAAACAAAACCCCAAGGAAGCCAUGGGCAUUAAACAGCUGUUUUGCAACUGUCCUGCUCACACAGCUGCUUCAGAGCUGGGCUGGGCUGGCAGUGGCCACUGCAGCUGUGCAGGCAGGGGAGGAGGUGUGUGGGUGUGUGGCUGCCAUCCCUCUGCCACUCCCUUCACCUUGGCCACAAAACUCAGGCACUGUCAGCCGGGAGGAGAUGCCAGGGGUUUGUGUUCCCUUGUGGCCAGGCCCUCCACAAGCUCAGGGCAUGCAGAAGCACAGCUCAUGGCUGCGAGAGAAUUAGGGAGCAGGGGGAAGCUAUUCCAUGUAAUCUGCAAUAACAAGGUAACAUUCAUGCCCAGGCUCUGAACCUGAAAUGACCAGUGCUGUCUAGAGAGACCAAGAAAGGAUCUUGGCUUGUAUAUGUUCCAAAGAGAUACAGAACUCUGUUCAUACCCUAAAAUGAGAAUAUUCUUUGACACGUACUUCAUCCAUUUCCCCUUCAUAGAACAGGGGCUGUGCAUUGCUCUGUGCUCAGCAGAGCAUCUGCAGGGGCCAUUACUGCUGCAGCCAGCAUUUGCUGAUCAGCAUCCAGUGCACGUCUCACACUGCAGAACCCCCUCCUUUCCUUUCCUUCACCUUUGCUGACUGGAGCUGGUAGUUCAAUGCAGCUGUGCUAUAAGGAUUAAAUAAAGAAGGAGGCCAAGGACAGCAGAGUAACUCAAGAUUAUCUUCACAGUCAAAUGUUUCCCUUCCAGGGAAGCUGGGGAGGUCCCACAGCCUUGCUGAGGAUGUGCAGACUGUUUCUGUACCGUUCAGUGCUGCCAGGAUGCCUGAGAGUAUUGCUGGCCCCUGACAUAUGGCAGGGUACAGACAGACAGACAGACAGACAGACAGACAGAUGUGCUCACCAGGGGAAGGUAGGGAAAUCUGGAGGCAGGUUUGCACGGUUCAGCCAAUGUAAACACACCCCAGUGCAUGCUACAACGUGUAAAUACUAUUUGGCAAAGGAUUACUGGGUUUUACUCUUCUGCAGAUAAUAAAGGUUUAAUCCAAUCCAAUGUUUGCAGGCAGGACUGGAACAGGUAAGUGAGAUGCCUUAAGCUGCUUACUGGAGAUGUCCACAAAGACAAAGUAACAGACAGAGAUGAAAUCCUCAUCAGAAAAUGACUUCUUGUCCAUAACUGAAUGUUGCUGGGGACACUUUCUUUCAGGAAUUAGCAGCAAUGCUCAGCCUGAGGCCAAACAAACAAUUUCUCCCCUUUCAUUAACAGAAAAUACCAAUUACCAGUGCUGAUUGGAACACUUGUGCUCAGUGAACACUGACUGUGCCAACCAGGACCCAGCACCUCCUAUUCACGUUGCUGAUCUCUAUGUUAGGGAGUUUGGAUGAGCUGGUGCUCCUGAACAGUUGUGGGGGUUUAUGGGUGGGGAAAAUCACAAGGAUGGGAGUAACCCCUCUGGCCAUAGUACCUGAUACCACCAUUCCAUCCAAACACAUGGUGAUCCUUGGGAGCCUUCCCCAAUGGACAGCUGAGCAUCAGAAGGUAUUUUAAGUACUGGGGGUUUGGAGGGGUCAUGCUACCCCCCCUUGCUGGGAUGGUGUGCCUGGGACAAAUGCAUCCUCUGGGACACUGGCUGAGCAGGGAGGCUGGCCAGGGUGGGGUGAUCUGCCUCAUACAAAAAGAAGGAAAGUGCUUUGGUGUUCACAACAAGAAGCACAAUAUGAGUGCACAACUUCAAUAUAUGUGCACAACUAAAAAUGAGUAUAUUAAUUCUUUUGCAUCACUCAGCACUCCACCUAUCCCUGUUUUUCCCCUACUUUUCCCACACUGUCACUAAGAAGGAUCUCUGCAGACCCUGCCCUGCCACAAUAUGGAUCUGUGGGACAAUGCCAGGUCAGCCCUAGAGGGGCCAGGGCUGACCCCAUGGCUGCUACAGGCCAGCAGGGCCCUUCUGCAGCCAGGCAGUCACUGCAACAUCAGCUCACACCAGGGAUGGGGCCCCUCUGUAAGAAAAAGAUCUGUAUAGCAAAGCCUUGUAUAGCAAAGCUGAGAAAAGAUGGAAAACUGUUUCUCAGAGCCAGGCUCUGAUCAAGCACAUGCAAUUCAGCCUUUACUGUCCCAGACAGCUUCCCAACCUCCACAGGAUGUCAGAGUCACACCACUAAACCCUCAUCUCACAGACACACUGGGAAACUUGUGGGGCAGCUGGUGGGGGAAUGUGUCAGGAGCUCAUGCCUGAAGGCAGCAAAUCCUGCAAAUGCAAUGCAAUGGCAGAGCUCUGAGCAGAGCUGCUCCCUUCUUGCCUCUCUCAGGGGUCUACACACUCCUGAAAGCAUCCAGAGCACCAGGGAAACAACUGGGUGUUCAAGGAGCUACACUGGAGCCUGAGCAGCCUCCUCUGCCACAAACUCCCUUAUGCUGCACUGCCUUAUUUCCUUCCAGUGCCAGCAGGACAAAACAUGAUCCUUCAGAAAAAUAAAACCAGAUACACUUCUGCUGAAUGCUUUGAUUAGCUACAGCCAUCAGGACCUCCCAGCAAAACCCAGAAGUCCCCACACCCAACUCUGCAUGGCACCUCUUAAAAAGUAAAUCCCUGCUCAGUGCCAUGUGCUACCCCAAAGCAGGACCUGACACCAACAAGGUUUUCAUGAGAGAGGAGGAUUGAUUUGUCUCUGACCAGCAGCCUGUCCCUGGGAAUGGUAACAGAGAACUUGGAGUUUACAACACAUUUUGAAGCAGCAGUAUGAUGAGUAUGCUUUUUAAAUGCCAUUGUCAUUAAGUGAGUCUUAAUACUUAUGUCACCCAGUGCAGGUGCCCCCAUCUCUGUACUGCAGCAAAACCAAACAUUUCCAUUAAGGCCUCCCCAUGAGAGAGGCUGGGACAUGUCAUCUAAA